UACGAAGGGGGCUAGCGUUGCUCGGAAUCACUGGGCGUAAAGGGUGCGUAGGCGGGUCUUUUAAGUCAGGGGUGAAAUCCUGGAGCUCAACUCCAGAACUGCCUUUGAUACUGAGGAUCUUGAGUUCGGGAGAGGUGAGUGGAACUGCGAGUGUAGAGGUGAAAUUCGUAGAUAUUCGCAAGAACACCAGUGGCGAAGGCGGCUCACUGGGCCGAUACUGACGCUGAGGAGCGAAAGCGUGGGGGAGCGAACAGG
rnacentral:rRNA from 1 species